CGAUGCGCCUGCCAUUGCCCUUCAACAGGUCCUUGCGGCCCUUCUGGCCUGCCCCAGGGCUCUUGCUGGUAGGGAAGGCAAGGUACUCCCGGCGGCCUUCCUCGCUCUCCAAGACCCUGCUCAAGCGGACAGAAAGGCCAGGUACUGGGAAGGAGGAACACUCAUCUGAACCUGGGAGUUCCUGACUGAACUGGGCCACUUCAGUCGUGUCCACCUUGGGCUUGGCCGUGGCUGUGGCUUGGACCCAGCUCCACUUAGAGCCUGUGGCUGAGAACUGCCCGACUCCACUGCAGAAUGGGGUUCUGCUCCAAGCUGUUGGUGGCUACCAGCUCCUGGGCUCCCUGGAGCAGAUGCCAUCCCCAGGGCUCUUCUAUAGGGCCCUUGGCAGCCCUUGGCUGGUCCAGGAAACCACCUCUGGACCUCUGUCUCCUCGAAGGCUUCUCCUCGAAGCCAGCUGAAUGGGGAGGACCACGGCCUCACCGGAUGAGCAGUUGUCAAAGUUAAAAUCUCCGCAGAUGACGUCAAACGCCACCAGCUCCUCAGGGUUGGCUGUGCUGGACGAGGAGGUAGAUUUUCG